GCUCGCUAGCGAUGCCUAAUACAUGCAAGUCGAGCGAAUGGAUUAAGAGCUUGCUCUUAUGAAGUUAGCGGCGGACGGGUGAGUAACACGUGGGUAACCUGCCCAUAAGACUGGGAUAACUCCGGGAAACCGGGGCUAAUACCGGAUAACAUUUUGAACCGCAUGGUUCGAAAUUGAAAGGCGGCUUCGGCUGUCACUUAUGGAUGGACCCGCGUCGCAUUAGCUAGUUGGUGAGGUAACGGCUCACCAAGGCAACGAUGCGUAGCCGACCUGAGAGGGUGAUCGGCCACACUGGGACUGAGACACGGCCCAGACUCCUACGGGAGGCAGCAGUA
rnacentral:rRNA from 1 species